UUACGACCAUGUCAAAUUGAAACACUGGUUCCCAUAGAACCACUGGAGUUAAGCAACAUUGAGCUUGGUCAGUACCUAGAUGGGUGACAGCUUGGGAAUACCAGGUGCUGUAUG
rnacentral:rRNA from 1 species